rnacentral:rRNA from 1 species
AUUCCAGCUCCAAUGGCGUAUAUUAAAGUUGUUGCAGUUAAAAGGCUCGUAGUUGGAUUUCUGGCAGGAGCGACCGGUCGGCCCAUUGUGGUGUGUACUAGUGUUGCAUCGGGCUAUAUUUGUGGAGAGCGUGUGUGGCAUUAAUUUGUCGUGCUCGGGACCCGCAUCGUUUACUGUGAGAAAAUUAGAGUGUUCAAAGCUGGCUUAUGCCUUGGAUAUGUUAGCAUGGAAUAAUAAGAUAAGACUUUGGCGGUCUAUUUUGUUGGUUUGCACGCCAUUGUAAUGAUUGAUAGGGACAGUUGGGGGUAUUCAUAUUUAAUUGUCAGAGGUGAAAUUCUUGGAUUUAUGAAAGAUGAACUACUGCGAAAGCAUUUACCAAGGAUGUUUUCAUCA